UGGCUGGCGGGGGAGAGGGGGUCUCUUCGGCCUUCUACCUCCCGCGGCUGGGGCUACUCUUCCAGCUACCGGGCACUUCACGGCGUGCGCCCCCGGGGCCUCCCAAACUGUUUCCAAACUGCCCAGACCGGAGGUGGGCGCGUGGAGACUAGGCGAAAGGGCUGGGUUUGGAGGGGGCGAUUGUGUGCUUGAAUACUAGGAGACUGGGGAAGCAGACGUCGACCCCAAACGAGUUUGCAAUCGAGGUAUCUCCGAUCCCGCUUCCUCUUCGGCCCGCACACCCCCUCCCUCCCUGGAGCAGUACUGGGGAGGGGAAACCAAGAUUUGGAACCACAUUAGCCUUCACAUUCCUGGGAGGAUACAGCCCUCGCCUGGACGUGGAAGAUAGCUUUUUUUUUUUCCUUUCUGUUUUUAUUUUUGGAAGGGAGCGCCCUGUAAUUGUCCUGAACGCAUGCUUCUUCCUCCAGGCACCAGCGACAGAGAGUCCCCUUUUUUGCAUUUAUCAUUUUCCUUCCCCUUUCUUUAUUAAAGGUCCGGGAGUGGCGGCGGCCAAUCAGCGCUCGGCUUCCAUUUUGUGAGUUCAACUCGGAGGCUUCCCCGGCUUCGCGUGGAUAUGUUUGCAGACCCCUCGGUCUCUCUUCUCGGGCUGCCGACAUGAAGCAGCCGCCUCGCUGGGGCUUCGUGGUGGUGUUUUUCAUAUUGGGGCUCUUUUCGGGGUUUGUAAUUUGGCCGUGGGUAGGUAAUUGGCUGGAGCAGGGCGGCAGGGCGCGGCAGCCAAUCAGCACACGGCUUCUAUAGGGCUUGCGUUAUUAGACGCUGAUCUCAAAACAUCCUUCAUCAGACUCCAAGGAGAGGCCAACAGAUGAGGGGAGCCAUUUUUCUGCAAUGGAAUUAAAUGGCCAAGUGGGUUUUUCCUUUGUUGCAAAUGGGGAAUGCUUUUCCUUUGACUCCACCAUCCAGUUCAGGACGCCCGAAUGUAUUUAACAUUUGCCAAAGGACUCACACUUGGAAGAAUGAAGAAGACCUUUUAAAAAGAUCUGGAUUUUUCCUUAUGACUUGGAAUCCAUCUUUGUCUUGUAUAACUAGGUCAUAGCACACUAUCAAUGUCAGCAGUUAACAGUUUUGAAUUCAAAAAAACCUAAGUAAAUGACAUAUUUAAUUUUUUCCUUUUUUUCUUGGGUGGAUGGGGGGAGAGCUUGGAGCUGUCUUAAUCUGUAUUCUCUUGACUGAACAAUAAAUUUUUAAAUAUUUCCUCUAUUAAACACUUAACCUGGUCAUCUUAUUAACUACUCUUUUUAACAAGGUAAUGUUUUAAAUGUAUAGUUGUAGGAAUAGCGAAAUGGCAGCAACAAAAAAUUGUGAGCUGUUACUGUUAAAUUUUCUAAAAAACCUUUUACAUUGUAAGUACCCAAUCCAUUCUGUCCUUCCUGCACUGCAGUUUUCAUGUUACUGUCGCCUGAAAUGUCCUGAAUUUUCGGAAUCUUCAUCUGCAUGUGUGUCUUUGUCUCUGUCUGAUAUAAGUCAGUUAAAAUGCUUUUAGACGCUUGCUUUUAUAAAGCUACGGUUUUUAGUUCAAGCUUUUGGAAAAAUGUUUAUAGCAAUAGAUGCUGCUCCGACUUCUUCCCAGUAACUCGUACACUUUCUUUGAAAAUCGAUCUAUUUUGAAGAAAAACAGUUGUUUUUUCUCGACUGGGGGGGGGGGACGACUGAGAGAAAGGAAGUCUUUCUUUACAAAGACUCAAAGCCGUCACUGAAAACUAGAUUAAAACUGGAAAACAAGUCCUAGCUGGUGCAAGCCAAACACCCACGUUAACCCGGUGCUGUUUUCUAUGGUGGUUGGGACGGCUGGUGAGCUAUUUUGCCUUUUGUUUGACUUGACCGUGUUUUCGCCUUUUGUUUCUUAAUGAUCACACCAUUGCUAAAUCCAGAGCGGUAAACAGUCCACAGCGAAGCCGCCUUUUUGCCAGCCCAACCCUGGAAAGUUUGCAGUCGUGGAAGGAGCAGAAAAUACUGAGUGUAACUUACAAAAAGGUAACAACAAAAGAACACUAUUACCCCAGAUUUUUUUUCCCAACUAAAUAACCAAAACAACAACAAAAAAACCUUUUCAUAAUAACAUCUCCAAAAACACCGCCCAGUUUUUUCUUCUAGACUCCAUGGCACCGGGCUGAGCGGGUAAGUAAAAAACUAAAAUAAUUUAGAAAAAACUUAAGUGCCUUUGCCCCCUUCGAGGAACUCUUGAUUGAGCAGGCCAUGGGCUGUAGGUGAUGGGAGCUGAGGUUUCUAGAGCUUGAGUUUGGCAACCGGUGACAGUGGGCGGGUGAGGGGACAAAGACUCUCCAGACCCCUUUGCCUUUUCUGCCCCAGAGGCGAAGAGAGCAUCUCCCCAGUACCCUGGGACAUCCAUGGAGCUGUCUGCGAUAGUCCCUUUGGCUCGCCUCAGGUCUGAACCUUGGUGGCAGAGAAGAAAUUUAAGUGCUUUGGAGAUGGAGGGGCUGAAAGAGCGAGGAAACCUUCCCACCCAUCCUAAGGUUUCGUUCCCAUUUGAUUGUGGGGUUUCUGCACCCUUAAAUCAGCUUUUCGGGGCUCCGGGGCUCGCCUGCUCUUCCAAAGAGAAAAAGGACAAAAGGCCGGCGUCCAUGUUGGCACCAUGACGCAGCAUCUCUCCCGCCUGCAGCCGGGCGCUGCCUGUCCUCCCGGCCGUGCUCGCUCCUCCCUCCCAAACAUGAGUUUUAUUUUCAGGUUUUGAGCCGAGCCGCUGGCUGGGCCGGGUUGGGGCCAAGGCUGGGGCCGCCCGGCUGCUCAAUGCUGCGGUGGCUAAUGGCGGCCGGCUCUCCUCCUUCCUUCCGCCAUUGUCUUUCCCCGGUUGUCGCUGGGAGGCAGUCCCGGGUCCUAAGAGCCCGCAAGGCAAGGCACCCGGGAUACCGGUGACGGGUCUCUGGCGGCCUUGGGCCUCCGGGGCGUCGCGUACCACAGUUCCCGCACUCGCCCACCCACCCCACACCCGCCCGCCUGCCUCCGGGUGAGGCGUGCGACUCCCGCAGUGGCGGCCGCGGGAGGAGCCGGAGCUGGGCUGGGCGAGCCGCUGGAGGCGGGUUGAGGACCCUGAUCUCCGCUGAAGCCCCGGACUCCAUGGCCCAGGAGGGCACGAGGCCUCUCUCUGGCUGCUGUGCCUGCUGUUCUGCCUCGAAACAGGAGCCAAGUAGCCAAGGGCUAAGAGGCUGCCUUCACUGCCCACUUGGCUUCAGGAGACCCACCCCGGCCUCCCCCAGUCGUUCUUUGAUAGCCGAGCCGGAGGGGCGGGUCUCCCCUUUUGUCCCCCACUUUGGGAUAGAGGCCCUCGCGGUGCCUGAGUCCCUUCACUUGGUCGCCAGGGGCUCAGCCUCCAACCCAGCUCUGCGGGUUGGAGGUGUGUGUUAGAGGAGGGGGGCGGUUGGGGCCUGGGAAAGCCGAUUGGGGCCUCCCCCUCGGGAACCCCCCCCUCCCGUGACAGUGCCCGAGGGUAAAGCCUUAGAUCUCAGCCUUCCUGGGGGAGGGGAUGCGGACAGGGCGGGCCUUUGGAAAUGCAGAUGAGCCGUCUCCUGCUGCUCGUCGCCCGGGCUGAACCUUAGUGACUCAGCCACCCCCACCCCACCCCCACCCAUUCCAGAGUGAGGGCUGCCUUGUCAGCUGGAAGAGGGGGGGCAGCACUUCUGAGGCUCCCUUUCUAUCUAGUAGACCCUGUUGGUUCGCAUUUGGCCGAUCCAUUCUCUGACCUACAAACUGUGGGACUGCCCUAACAGAUCGUCCGAAUUCACAGGUAUUGCUCGGAGCCCGGAGCAAUGUCUCGGUUAUCCCCCCCACAGUAACAAUCCUUGCCUCCUCUGGACAUCUGGAACAGGCCCAAUUUGACUGACAGCUUGCCCACUAAGGUAGGUAAGAGCCCUUUUCCCAAGUUGAGAGAACUGUAUCGGGGGCUUUGGCCUGCGGCCUUCGAAGGGCGGGUUGGGAUCCCCAAACUCGCUGGGCUGGUUCAGCAGCCCCUCCCCCACGCUGAUGUGGCGGUUGUGUCUGUGUGUGAAAUGGGCGGCCUGCUGGGUCCAUCCAGCCCCGCCUGUCAACCUCUGUUGUCAGGCGUUUAGGGCGGGCGAUUCUCUGCCGAAUUUAGCAACUUACUAGAGCAGGACUACGAAGUAUUUCCCAGUGGUGUGUUUUAUGGUGGGUGGGAGGGUCCUGGAAGCUUCUGAAGGCAUUGACUGCUGCCAGGCUUGCCGGUGGUGCCUCAGCCAUUUCUCCUGAGUCCCAUUAGGGUGGCCAAAUGAGCCACCCUCUGAUGUCUGCCUUGCUGGCUAGACAAAGAACCAAAAAACCUGAAAUCUUAGGCAGCCUUCCCAGAGAAAAGGUUUCCUUGACUUCUUUUCCUGGAUUCUCACAGUGGCCUCCUAGCUCCUAACAAGGCCAGGAUGGCGAUAGCCUAGCCUGGCUUCUAGAACUGUACAAAGCUGGCUGUGAAGUAGACGGGCUCUUUACAUGUGUUUACCGUGCAUAGUCAACACGGUCUCCGAGCAGUCUCCUUAGCUGCAAAAAUUAGGCACCGUAGCAUAAGUCGGAAGGGGAACUCAUUUAGCCUCACUGUGCCCGGCUCUUAAAAGCGUCUCAUUCAGAAGGUGCAUCUAAGAAUUAGCACUUCUUACAAGGGCCCAGGCCAGUUUUCCAGACUUUCCCUGCUAGGUGACACCUGGGAUAUUCUCCAUCUGUGUAGCUCCAGUUGGCUAGCCCUCCUCCGGCCCAGGAAACUUCACAGCUGAAAGUGGUUUGGCCCUUGAUCUCUGACCCCUACUCCCCAAGAGUGCGCCUAGUUAUGUUCUUUGAUGAGCCAUUUGGCUGCAGGUGCUUCCCGUUUUGGCCUAAGCUUCCAGCUUCUUCCCCUUGUUCGUCACCCCUACAGUGAGUGCUGAAGUGUGGCUUGGGGAGCCCGGCAGGCUUCACGGAGGGAUUGUUGGAGACAUGCAGGUUAGUGCCCAGUCGGGGGAUGAUUGAAGCCUGGCAGCUGUGAGCUAGUGACCUUGGACCAGUGCUGUCUCCUGUUCCGUUCCCCUCCCCCCACCCCCGUAAAAGGAUCGUAACUGCUGGAAAAGGUUGGGCAGGAUUAAUGGCGAUUAAGGGGGGCCGCACUCCUGCUCUAGCCUCCAGUACGAUAGGGAAUGUUGCUGGGAGUGGCUGCGUGGGUGGGGGCUGGGCUGUGUCUUGGGCUCCUCCCCGCCAGCCCACUUCCUGAAGCACGUGCCGGAGCCUCCAGGCAAAGGAGAAAGAAAACUGGCUCUGCUUGGGAAGGCGGCCAGCUGUUUUUCUUCCAGUGCAGUUUUCAGUCCGGGCUGUUCUGUAGUGGGUCACGAUUUUUAAGGGUUACCCACUAAUGACCCCAAGAAAAGAAACAGCUCGCCCAAGGUUCUGAGGCCACGACAGACAGGGUUCCAGGUUAUCUUGGUUUUCAGCCCAGAGCCUGGGCCCCUGACAACCCCUUGCUCAGCUGUCUGGGUUAUUUUAGGCACCCUCCCGUUCCAGCUGUCUGCUGCCAUCACUGUCAGAGAGCUGUCUGAUAGCUGAUAGCGAGGAACCAGAAUGGUCCUGUGGCUCCCGACGGUACAGAGGGCCAGGCUUCCAGCUCUGGCCAGCCAGCCUCCCUGGCUCAGGACCAAGCCCAAAGAAGCCUGAAAGAAGAAACCUGGAAUCCUUGCAAAGCACUAUGCCCCGUCUGUGUUUGAGAAGUACACGGCUAGUGUGACUGUGGGCAACAAGGAGGUGACCCUGAACCUCUACGACACAGCUGGGCAGGAAGACUAUGAUCGGCUGCGGCCCCUGUCCUACCAGAACACA